GGAUCGACGGGUUGGUCGCGCCUCUGGUAUGUACUGGCUUUACUGGUUCCUCCUUCUUGAAGAACUGUAAUGUCAUUAAUUUGGUGUUGCAGGGAAACAGGACUGUUACUUUGAAAAAAUUAGAGUGUUUAAAGCAGGCUAACGCUUGAAUACAUUAGCAUGGAAUAAUGAAAUAGGACGUUUGAUCCUAUUUUGUUGGUUUCUAGGAUUGACGUA
rnacentral:rRNA from 1 species